rnacentral:rRNA from 1 species
GUCUACAGUCAUGCUACCCUGAACAAGCCCAAUCCCGUCUGAUCUCGGAAGCUAAGCAGGGUCGGGCCUGGUUAGUACUUGGGUGGGAGACCACCUAGGAAGACCAGGUGCUGUAGGUG